rnacentral:rRNA from 1 species
GAUGAACGCUGGCGGCGUGCCUAAUACAUGCAAGUCGAGCGAAUGGAUUAAGAGCUUGCUCUUAUGAAGUUAGCGGCGGACGGGUGAGUAACACGUGGGUAACCUGCCCAUAAGACUAGGAUAACUCCGGGAAACCGGGGCUAAUACCGGAUAACAUUUUGAACCGCAUGGUUAGAAAUUGAAAGGCGGCUUCGGCUGUCACUUAUGGAUGGACCCGCGUCGCAUUAGCUAGUUGGUGAGGUAACGGCUCACCAAGGCAACGAUGCGUAGCCGACCUGAGAGGGUGAUCGGCCACACUGGGACUGAGACACGGCCCAGACUCCUACGGGAGGCAGCAGUAGGGAAUCUUCCGCAAUGGACGAAAGUCUGACGGAGCAACGCCGCGUGAGUGAUGAAGGCUUUCGGGUCGUAAAACUCUGUUGUUAGGGAAGAACAAGUGCUAGUUGAAUAAGCUGACACCUUGACGGUACCUAACCAGAAAGCCACGGCUAACUACGUGCCAGCAGCCGCAGUAA